ACUCUCACAUUGGCAGCAUGUGUACUAAAACUGGAGUGAUCGAGAGAUUAAUUAGCGUGGCCCCUGCACAAGGGUGACAAGCAGAUUCAUGAAGAGCUCCCUAUUUCU
ensembl:snRNA U6 U6 spliceosomal RNA